GGUAUAGUGGCUUAGUGGUAUAGUGCCUCACACCUACCGGGGUUGGGGGUUCGAAUCCAGACUUCACCC